GACGACGCUGGCGGCGUGCCUAACACAUGCAAGUCGAGCGAGUGAAUCUCCUUCGGGAGUGAAGCUAGCGGCGGACGGGUGAGUAACACGUGGGCAACCUGCCUCAUAGAGGGGAAUAGCUUCCGAAAGGAAGAUUAAUACCGCAUAAGAUUGUAGCUUCGCAUGAAGUAGCAAUUAAAGGAGCAAUCCGCUAUGAGAUGGGCCCGCGGCGCAUUAGCUAGUUGGUGAGGUAACGGCUCACCAAGGCGACGAUGCGUAGCCGACCUGAGAGGGUGAUCGGCCACAUUGGGACUGAGACACGGCCCAGACUCCUACGGGAGGCAGCAGUGGGGAAUAUUGCACAAUGGGGGAAACCCUGAUGCAGCAACGCCGCGUGAGUGAUGACGGCCUUCGGGUUGUAAAGCUCUGUCUUCAGGGACGAUAAUGACGGUACCUGAGGAGGAAGCCACGGCUAACUACGUG
rnacentral:rRNA from 1 species